GACGAACGCUGGCGGCGUGCCUAAUACAUGCAAGUCGAGCGCGGGAAUCUCUUCUGAUCCCUUCGGGGUGAAGAGAGUGGAACGAGCGGCGGACGGGUGAGUAACACGUGGGCAACCUACCUAUAAGACUGGGAUAACUCGCGGAAACGUGAGCUAAUACCGGAUAAUACUUUUUAUUGCAUAGUAAGAAGUUUGAAAGGCGGCGUAAGCUGUCACUUAUAGAUGGACCCGCGGCGCAUUAGCUAGUUGGUGAGGUAAAGGCUCACCAAGGCAACGAUGCGUAGCCGACCUGAGAGGGUGAUCGGCCACACUGGGACUGAGACACGGCCCAGACUCCUACGGGAGGCAGCAGUAGGGAAUCUUCCGCAAUGGACGAAAGUCUGACGGAGCAACGCCGCGUGAGUGAAGAAGGUUUUCGGAUCGUAAAACUCUGUUGUUAGGGAAGAACAAGUCAGGUAGUAACUGACCUGACCUUGACGGUACCUAACCAGAAAGCCACGGCUAACUACGUGCCAGCAGCCGCGGUAAUACGUAGGUGGCAAGCGUUGUCCGGAUUUAUUGGGCGUAAAGCGCUCGCAGGCGGUCUUUUAAGUCUGAUGUGAAAGCCCACGGCUUAACCGUGGAGGGUCAUUGGAAACUGGAGGACUUGAGUGCAGAAGAGGAGAGUGGAAUUCCAUGUGUAGCGGUGAAAUGCGUAGAGAUAUGGAGGAACACCAGUGGCGAAGGCGACUCUCUGGUCUGUAACUGACGCUGAGGAGCGAAAGCGUGGGUAGCGAACAGGAUUAGAUACCCUGGUAGUCCACGCCGUAAACGAUGAGUGCUAGGUGUUAGGGGGUUUCCGCCCCUUAGUGCUGAAGUUAACGCAUUAAGCACUCCGCCUGGGGAGUGCGGCCGCAAGGCUGAAACUCAAAAGAAUUGACGGGGACCCGCACAAGCGGUGGA
rnacentral:rRNA from 1 species